rnacentral:tRNA from 1 species
GCGGAAUUAACUCAGUUGGUUAGAGUGCAGGUCUCAUAGCAAAACAAAAUACUGCAAUAUGGGCAUCGCGAGAUGCUUCAUAUCUACCAGCCACAAAACUUCACCGAGUGAACGCUCGCGCACGACACGUCGUGCUCCAAGAUUGACUCUCGAGAGUUAUCCUGAAGUCGCCAGUUCGAUCCUGGCAUUCCGCA